GGGCCCGCACAAGCGGUGGAGCAUGUGGUUUAAUUCGAUGCAACGCGAAGAACCUUACCUACUCUUGACAUCCUGCGAAUUUGGUAGAGAUACCUUAGUGCCUUCGGGAGCGCAGAGACAGGUGCUGCAUGGCUGUCGUCAGCUCGUGUUGUGAAAAUGUUGGGUUAAGUCCCGUAACGAGCGCAACCCUUGUCCUUAUUUGCCAGCGCGUAAUGGCGGGAACUCUAAGGAGACUGCCGGUGACAAACCGGAGGAAGGUGGGGACGACGUCAAGUCAUCAUGGCCCUUACGAGUAGGGCUACACACGUGCUACAAUGGUCGGUACAAAGGGUUGCCAACUCGCGAGAGUGAGCCAAUCCCGAAAAGCCGAUCUCAGUCCGGAUCGGAGUCUGCAACUCGACUCCGUGAAGUCGGAAUC
rnacentral:rRNA from 1 species